rnacentral:ncRNA from 1 species
UGGGAAGGGUAGAGACUAGAGUGUAUGCGAACCUUACCCCUGCCUCAAGGAGGUAGAGAGGUAAAACCCACCGGGUGGUGUGGUACGUAGUGGCUUUAGAACGCCCCACCCAAACAAACGGCUCCAAAACAAACAAAAAGGUGUGCCGCACUCACAAAGGACUGCCAGUGAUAUGCUGGAGGAAGAUGGGGAUGACGUCAAGUCCGCAUGGCCCUUAUGGGUUGGGCCACACACGUGCUACAACGGCAAUUACAAUGGGAAGCAAGGCUGUACGGCGGAGCGAAUCCAAAACGAUUGCCUCAGUUUGAAUUGUUCCCUGCAACUCGGGAACAUGAAGUUGGAA